rnacentral:piRNA from 1 species
UCCCAGCCCAGGUGAUUUUGUCCCAGAAGU